rnacentral:rRNA from 1 species
UGCUCCUAGUACGAGAGGACCGGAGUGGACGCAUCACUGGUGUUCGGGUUGUCAUGCCAAUGGCACUGCCCGGUAGCUAAAUGCGGAAGAGAUAAGUGCUGAAAGCAUCUAAGCACGAAACUUGCCCCGAGAUGAGUUCUCCCUGACUCCUUGAGAGUCCUGAAGGAACGUUGAAGACGACGACGUUGAUAGGCCGGGUGUGUAAGAGCAGCGAUGCGUUGAGCUAACCGGUACUAAUGAACCGUGAGGCUUAACCUUACAACGCCGAAG